rnacentral:rRNA from 1 species
CCCUGGGCGUAAUCGCCUCCCCAAUUUUUAAGAAGUUCCCCAUGGGACGGAUCAUCGGUCCCUUCGGCCACGACUUUGAGGCCCAGGUUAUGGGCAAGGCUGAUAACGGAUCUGACGAUGAUUUCGCUCUGGUCAUCUAUGUGCAUCCAUUUAACGAAGGACUGGUCUAUCUUUAUGACAUUCACCGGGAAAUGCAUCAGAUAGCUGAGGGAGGAAGACCCGGUGCCGAAAUCAUCCAUGUAGAGCAUGAAAUUUCUCGAUUUGAAUUCAAGCAACGCGAUAUUGGCCGAUUCCAUAUCGCUGAUGAAAGCGCGUUCAGUGAUCUCAAAGGCUAUGUCAGCUGGACUGAUAUUGUAUUUAUCCGUGAGUUCGAAUAUACUUGCCGUCAGGUUCGGAAAAAUGAAUUGGCGGGAGGGC